UACGUAGGGGGCUAGCGUUGUCCGGAAUCAUUGGGCGUAAAGAGCGCGUAGGCGGCCAGAUAAGUCCGGUGUGAAAGUCAAAGGCUCAACCUUUGAAUGCCGCUGGAAACUGUCUGGCUAGAGUCCGGGAGGGGCGAGUGGAAUUCCUGGUGUAGCGGUGAAAUGCGCAGAUAUCAGGAGGAACACCAAUGGCGAAGGCGACGUCCUGGACCGGCAUUGACGCUGAGGCGCGAAAGCCAGGGGAGCAAACGGG
rnacentral:rRNA from 1 species